rnacentral:rRNA from 1 species
GACGAACGCUGGCGGCGUGCUUAACACAUGCAAGUCGAACGGAAAGGCCCUGCUUUUGUGGGGUGCUCGAGUGGCGAACGGGUGAGUAACACGUGAGUAACCUGCCCUUGACUUUGGGAUAACUUCAGGAAACUGGGGCUAAUACCGGAUAGGAGCUCCUGCUGCAUGGUGGGGGUUGGAACGUUUCGGCGGUUGGGGAUGGACUCGCGGCUUAUCAGCUUGUUGGUGGGGUAGUGGCUUACCAAGGCUUUGACGGGUAGCCGGCCUGAGAGGGUGACCGGCCACAAUGGGACUGCGAGACGGCCCAGACUCCUACGGGAGACAGCAGUGGGGAAUAUUGCACAAUGGGCGGAAGCCUGAGACAGCAACGCCGCGUGCGUGAUGACGGCCUUCGGGUUGUAAACCGCUUUCGCCUGUGACGAAGCGGGAGUGACGGUAAUGGGUAAAGAAGCACCGGCUAACUACGUG